rnacentral:tRNA from 1 species
GCGGAAAUAGCUCAGUUGGUAGAGCGCAACCUUGCCAAGGUUGAGGUCGCGGGUCCGAAUCCCGUUUUCCGCU